rnacentral:rRNA from 1 species
UGUUAAUAAUUUAUAUAAAAUAUUUUGAUGAAUAUUUAUAUAAUAUUAACAUAAUUCAUAUUACUAUAUAUUUUAGUAUAUGAAAUUUUACUUUGAGAAAAUUAGAGUGCUUAAAGCAGGCAUAUGCCUUGAAUACUCCAGCAUGGAAUAAUAUUAAAGAUUUUUAUCUUUCUUAUUGGUUCUAAGAUAAGAAUAAUGAUUAAUAGGGACAGUUGGGGGCAUUUGUAUUUAACAGUCAGAGGUGAAAUUCUUAGAUUUGUUAAAGACAAACUAAUGCGAAAGCAUUUGCCAAGGAUGUUUUCAUUAAUCAAGAACGAAAGUUAGGGGAUCGAAGACGAUCAGAUACCGUCGUAGUCUUAACCAUAAACUAUGCCAACUAGAGAUUGGGGGUUGUU